rnacentral:rRNA from 1 species
CCUACGGGUGGCAGCAGUGAGGAAUAUUGGUCAAUGGCCGGAAGCCUGAACCAGCCAAGUCGCGUGAAGGAUGACGGUCCUAUGGGUUGUAAACCUCUUUUGUCCGGGAACAAAGCCACUUACGUGUAGGGCUUUGCAUGUACCGUAAGAAUAAGGAUCGGCUAACUCCGUGCCAGCAGCCGCGGUAAUACGGAGGUUGCGAGCGUUAUCCGGAUUUAUUGGGUUAAAGGGGUGCGUAGGCCGUUUGUCAAGUUAGCGGUAAAAUCUCGGGGUUAAACCCCGUCCGGCCGUGGAAACUGGUGUUCUUGAGUCGGCGAGAAGCAGGCGGAAUGCGUGGUGUAGCGGUGAAAUGCUUAGAGAUGACGAAGAACCCCGAUUGCGAAGGCAGCAUGCUGGAGCGGGACUGACGCUGAUGCACGAAAGCGUGGGUAUCGAACAGGAUUAGAUACCCGUGUAGUC